rnacentral:rRNA from 1 species
GAUGAACGCUGGCGGCGUGCCUAAUACAUGCAAGUCGAGCGAACAGAUGAGGAGCUUGCUCCUCUGACGUUAGCGGCGGACGGGUUAGUAACACGUGGAUAACCUACCUAUAAGACUGGGAUAACUUCGGGAAACCGGCGCUAAUACCGGAUAAUAUAUUGAACCGCAUGGUUCAAUAUUGAAAGACGGUUUUGCUGUCUCUUAUAGAUCGAUCCGCGCCGCAUUAGCUAGUUGGUAAGGUAACGGCUUACCAAGUCAACGAUGCGUAGCCGACAUGAGAGCGAGGUCGGACAGAUGGGAAGAGAGAAUGGGCACAGACACUGAGACGAAGAAACAGUAGGGAAUCUUACGGGAGGGAGGAAAGGGGAACAGAGCAAAAUGGGGGGAAGGAUGAAGGAGUCAGGAUCGGAAAACUAUGUUAGUAGGAAAGUACAAAUGUGUAAGUACCGAUGCAGAUAUUGACGGUAGUUAAACAGGAAGCCACGGCUAACUACGUG